rnacentral:rRNA from 1 species
UACAGAGGUCUCGAGCGUUAGGCGGAAUCACUGGGCUUAAAGCGUGUGUAGGCGGAUCGUUAAGUACCUUGUGAAAUCCCACGGCUUAACCGUGGAACUGCUUGGUAUACUGGCGGUCUUGAGCCAGCUAGGGGCUACCGGAACAAAUGGUGGAGCGGUGAAAUGCGUAGAUAUCAUUUGGAACGCCAAUGGUGAAAAACAGGUAGCUGGGGGCUGUGCUGACGCUGA